rnacentral:misc_RNA from 1 species
AAGUCGUAACAAGGUAACCGUAGGUGAACCUGCGGUUGGAUCAUUAAUAAAUUUUUCUUAAAGAUAUAUUAAAAGUUGUUUGAAAGAACCUUUUAAUAUAUUCUUUAAACAAAUUUGUGAACUUUAUUAAAGUCUUUUGGGUAAGUCUGUAAAACGAUUUAUCCAAAAAAAUUUUUAAACCAUUUGUAUCCUUUUAUAAGUCUUUAAAUAUUUAAUUAAAAAAAAAUAAUUAAAAACAACUUUUAACAACGGAUCUCUUGGCUCUC